GCCGGGCGUGGUGGCGGGCGCCUGUAAUCCCAGCUACUCAGGAGGCUGAGGCAGGAGAAUCGCUUGAACCCAGGAGGCAGAGGUUGCAGUGAGCCAAGAUUGUGCCACUGCAAUCUAACCUGGGAGACAGAGUGAGACUCUGUCUCAA
ensembl:misc_RNA Metazoa_SRP Metazoan signal recognition particle RNA